rnacentral:rRNA from 1 species
CNACNNUUAAGUUGUUGCGGUUAAAAGCUCGUAGUCGGAUUUCUGCCGAGGACGACCGGUCCGCCCUCUGGGUGAGCAUCUGGCUUGAUCUGGGCAUCUUCUUGGAGAGCGUANCUGCACUUGACUGUGUGGUGCGGUAUCCAGGACUUUUACUUUGAGGAAAUUAGAGUGUCCUAAGCAGGCCCAUGCCAUAUAUACAUUAGCAUGGAAUAAUAGGGUAGGACCUACUCUCUAUUUUGUUGGUUUCUAGAGCAGAGGUAAUGGUCAAUGGGGAUAGUUGGGGGUAUCCGUAUUUGACUGUCAGAGGUGAAAUUCUUGGAUUUGUCAAAGACGAACCAAUGCGAAAGCAUUUGCCAAGGAUGUUUUCCUUGAUCAAGAACGAAAGUUAGGGGAUCGAAGACGAUCAGAUACCGUCCUAGUCUUAACCAUAAACUAUGCCAACUAGAGAUUGGAGGUCGUUAUGUUGACGACUCUUUCGGCACCUUAUGANAAAUCAAAGUCUUUGGGUUCCGGGGGGAGUAUGGUCGCAAGGCUGAAACUUAAAGGAAUUGACGGAAGGGCACCACCAGGAGUGGAGCCUGCGGCUUAAUUUGACUCAACACGGGGAAACUUACCAGGUCCGGACAUAGUAAGGAUUGACAGAUUGACAGCUCUUUCUUGAUUCUAUGGGUGGUGGUGCAUGGCCGUUCUUAGUUGGUGGAGUGAUUUGUCUGGUUAAUUCCGUUAACGAACGAGACCUUAACUUGCUGAAUAGCUACUUCUAACCCCGGUUACAUGGGCAGCUUCUUAGAGGGACUAUGGCCGUCUAACGCAAGGAAGUUUGAGGCAAUAACAGGUCUGUGAUGCCCUUAAAUGUUCUGGGCUGCACGCGCGCUACACUGAUGCACCCAAUGAGUUUUUGACCUUGCCUGGCAGGGUUGGGUAACCUGUCAAAAACCCAUCGUGAUGGGGAAAAAAUUUUGCAAUUGUUUAUCUUGACCGAGGAAUUCCUAGUAAGUAUGAGUCAUCAGCUUUCGGUGACUACGUCCUGCCUUGACCCCCCCCGCCCCUCCCCAUGAGGGACCGGGAAGAUCCAACCCCCGGACCACCGCAGCGUGCGUGAACUUUUGCUCUUUCCUUAAGAAGAAAUCUAUAGAACCUUAUC